UAACACUUAGAAAUAGGUGCUAAUACCGCAUAACAACAGAAAGCGCAUGCUUUUUGUUUGAAAACCAAGGUGGUAUGGGAUGGACCCGCGUCUGAUUAGCUGGUUGGCGGGGUAAAGGCCCACCAAGGCGACGAUCAGUAGCCGGCCUGAGAGGGUGGACGGCCACAUUGGGACUGAGACACGGCCCAAACUCCUACGGGAGGCAGCAGUGGGGAAUAUUGCACAAUGGGGGAAACCCUGAUGCAGCGACGCCGCGUGAGUGAAGAAGUAAUUCGUUAUGUAAAGCUCUAUCAGCAGGGAAGAAAAUGACGGUACCUGAGUAAGAAGCCCCGGCUAACUACGUGCCAGCAGCCGCGGUAAUACGUAGGGGGCAAGCGUUAUCCGGAUUUACUGGGUGUAAAGGGAGCGUAGACGGCAGUGCAAGUCUGGAGUGAAAGGCGGGGGCUCAACCCCCGGACUGCUCUGGAAACUGUACGGCUGGAGUGCAGGAGAGGUAAGUGGAAUUCCUAGUGUAGCGGUGAAAUGCGUAGAUAUUAGGAGGAACACCAGUGGCGAAGGCGGUCUGCUGGACAGCAACUGACGGUGAGGCGCGAAAGCGUGGGGAGCAAACAGGAUUAGAUACCCUGGUAGUCCACGCUGUAAACGAUGGAUACUAGGUGU
rnacentral:rRNA from 1 species